rnacentral:rRNA from 1 species
GAUGAACGCUGGCGGCGUGCCUAAUACAUGCAAGUCGAGCGAACGGACGAGAAGCUUGCUUCUCUGAUGUUAGCGGCGGACGGGUGAGUAACACGUGGAUAACCUACCUAUAAGACUGGGAUAACUUCGGGAAACCGGAGCUAAUACCGGAUAAUAUUUUGAACCGCAUGGUUCAAAAGUGAAAGACGGUCUUGCUGUCACUUAUAGAUGGAUCCGCGCUGCAUUAGCUAGUUGGUAAGGUAACGGCUUACCAAGGCAACGAUGCAUAGCCGACCUGAUAGGGUGAUCGGCCACACUGGAACUGAGACGCGGUCAAGACUCCUACGGGAGGCAGCAGUAGGGAAUCUUCCGCAAUGGGCGAAAGCCUGACGGAGCAACGCCGCGUGAGUGAUGACGGUCUUCGGAUCGUAAAACUCUGUUAUUAGGGAAGAACAUAUGUGUAAGUAACUGUGCACAUCUUGACGGUACCUAAUCAGAAAGCCACGGCUAACUACGUG